rnacentral:rRNA from 1 species
UACGUAGGUGGCAAGCGUUAUCCGGAUUUAUUGGGCGUAAAGAGAACGCAGGCGGUCUUUUAAGUCUGAUGUGAAAGCCUUCGGCUUAACCGGAGUAGUGCAUUGGAAACUGGGAGACUUGAGUGCAGAAGAGGAGAGUGGAACUCCAUGUGUAGCGGUGAAAUGCAUAGAUAUAUGGAAGAACACCAGUGGCGAAAGCGGCUCUCUGGUCUGUAACUGACGCUGAGGUUCGAAAGCGUGGGUAGCAAACAGG